UUCUUCAGAUCUGCACGUCUGUUUAAAUGCUUCACGUAAACUGAGAUGCGGUAUCAGGAACUAUAGCUGGGCUGCUGCUGGAGGGGCACGCAGAAUGGCUAGAUUGAAGGUUUCCAUCCACAGAACAGGCUCCAUCCAGUAGGCUGCAAAGGCCCUAGGGGGGCGUGUCGACAGUCACCGGCAUCUGGGAGGACAGGCGAGCAGAGGUGGGCCAGCAGGGAACAUACAAGCUGCCCAUGCCGACUGUGUAUGAAGCUGGGAAGCAGUACAUGGGACCUGAGUCCACAGAGAGACCCCUUUCGAUGUCCCGGCAUGAGACCUCUCCGACAACGAUGCAACCGGCUGGCAACCACCGCCCCAAUGCCUGCUGCUUCUGCUGGUGCUGCUGCUGCAGCUGCUCGUGGUAUGUCCUAUGCCCUGCUCAGUACCAGAGGCGCCAAAGAAGCCCCCUCCCCAUCCCUCUCAC
rnacentral:lncRNA from 1 species